GACGAACGCUGGCGGCGUGCUUAACACAUGCAAGUCGAACGAGAUCCAUGGAGUAGCAAUACUCCGGAAGAUCUAGUGGCGAACGGGUGAGUAACACGUGAGCAACCUGCCCCAAAGACUGGGAUAACCCCGGGAAACCGGAGCUAAUACCGGAUGUCCUCGUCGGAUCGCAUGGUCUGAUGAGGAAAUGAAUUUCGCUUUGGGAGGGGCUCGCGGGAUAUCAGCUGUUGGUGGGGUAACGGCCUACCAAGGCUUCGACGUCUAGCUGGUCUGAGAGGACGAUCAGCCACACUGGGACUGAGACACGGCCCAGACUCCUACGGGAGGCAGCAGUGGGGAAUCUUGCCCAAU
rnacentral:rRNA from 1 species